UACGUAGGGUGCAGGCGUUAAUCGGAAUUACUGGGCGUAAAGCGUGCGCAGGCGGUUUCUUAAGUCAGGUGUGAAAGCCCCGGGCUUAACCUGGGAACUGCGUUUGAAACUGGGAGACUUGAGUGGGGCAGAGGGGGGUGGAAUUCCACGUGUAGCAGUGAAAUGCGUAGAUAUGUGGAGGAACACCAAUGGCGAAGGCAGCCCCCUGGGUCAACACUGACGCUCAUGCACGAAAGCGUGGGGAGCAAACAGG
rnacentral:rRNA from 1 species